AUUGAACGCUGGCGGCAGGCCUAACACAUGCAAGUCGAACGAGUGGCGGACGGGUGAGUAAUGUCUGGGAAACUGCCUGAUGGAGGGGGCUAACUACUGGAAACGGUAGCUAAUACCGCAUACCAUCAGAUGUGCCCAGAGGUGAUUAGCUAGUUGGUGGGGUAACGGCUCACCAAGGCGACGAUCCCUAGCUGGUCUGAGAGGAUGACCAGCCACACUGGAACUGAGACACGGUCCAGACUCCUACGGGAGGCAGCAGUGGGGAAUAUUGCGCAAUGGGCGCAAGCCUGAUGGAGCCAUGCCGCGUGUGUGAAGAAGGUUUUCGGAUUGUAAAGCACUGUUGGCGGAGAGGCGUUACCUGAACAGAAAGCAACGGCUAACUCCGUGCCAGCAGCCGCGGUAAUAC
rnacentral:rRNA from 1 species